UUGUGUUGUGUUUUAUUAUUCAAAAAACAAACUAACAGGACAUUAUAGAAUAGAUUAUAGUGCUGUAACCUGUGGUAAAUUUCCAGAUUAAGGUUGCAAUUUACAAAACUAUUAUUAUUUGUUUAAUAAAGCCCUAGUUUUCAGGUAAGAUUGUAUAUACUCUCUUUUAUUUUAAUAUUAAUUAUUAAGGUUUUAAAAUUUUAGUUUCUCUAUAAAUAAUCAUGUUUUCUACUGCUCUACAGUCACACCCAAAAAAAUGUUAUGUAGCUGGGUGUCUGAAUCAGGAUGGUAAGAGGCAUAGAUUUCCAAAAAAUGAUCCAGAAAUAUACAAUGUAUGGAUUUCCAUUAUUAAUCCACCUAAUUAUCAUUGUUUAUCCUUGGAACAAAUCUAUAAUCGUUUUUAUGUUUGCGAUUGUCACUUUAAAGAGUACUGCAAAGUGCCAACCAGUAAGAGAGGACUCAAAAGAGCAGCAAUACCUAUUCUUAACAUUGAAGGGUAUGGUGCUUAUAAUGCUGAGCUAUUAUUAAGCAAUAAAUGGCAUAUAUUAUGCAAAAGGUUCCGUCGAUGGGUCCAUAUGUUCUAAAGUUACUAAUCUUUUAGAACCUAUUAGCCAAACUAAUGUGGUAGAAAAUAUCUUAGAGGUACCUAUGGAAAUAGCUGAUAAAAAAAUCCUCAUAUGCUUUUAAUCAAAAAGAUAUUCCUGGAAAUACCUCAUCUUAUAUGGAAAUAAUUCCUAUAAUAGAAAAUUCCAACAAUCAAAUAGAUAUUGAAAAAGUACCAUUACAAAUUGUACCUAAUGCCUCAAGGAAAAAGGAAUCUUCUAAGAAACGUCUUGAAAAAAGAAGGUUUUCAUUGAAAAGUUUAAAUGUUCAUCGUUCCAUUGAGUUGACACCAAAGGCCAAAAAAUGAUAUACCAAAUUAACAUCUUGGAGGAGUGAAAUAUAUGGAAUGGAAAAAAAAUUAAAUCUUACAAAGGGAGAAUAGGUAUUGCCGAAAAAUAUGUCAAUUCCACAGAUUUUAAAAAUCUCUGAAAACAUAUUAAUAGUCCUACUUACAAGUUCAUUAUAAAAUGAUGUAUAUUAUUAUAUCUAUCUUCACCAAUAAUAAAUUAUUAUUCGUGAAAUCACAGAAACGUACAUGUAUCAGAGACACCUAUUUUUUUCUGCGUGUAUGUUAUUUGUUAGUAUGUUAUGUAUUUGGCGUAGACAUAAUGCAAAAUAGACAAUACUUACAAAAGGUCGCCAGGAAAUGAUAAGUCGAAAAUUCACCUCCAUAUUUUUAAAUUUAAAAUAUAAUACCGUGUAAAUGCAUAUUAUUAUGUAGUACUUAUUGAUUUUAGGAUUUUUACUUGUUUUA